UACCCAGCCCCAGAGCCUCUGCCAAUGACUCAAUUAUACAAAAUCAUUUGCCUCUGAGCCUUCAUAACACUUAUUAUCUGCUCUAUGCAUGUGGCAUCUGCAAAAUACUGUCUUUGUGCAGUGGAAAGAGGAUAGAACUUAAAAGCCUGAGUGUCGAACAUCCAUUCUACCCUUUGCUGGCCCUGUCACUUGGAGGCACUACGUGCACUGACAUUGCCUCAUCUUCGCAGUGGGGAUGACGGCACAUGCACUCCCUUCCCAGAGGCGUGAGGGUUACAGGAGACCCUGGUGUCAGUCUCUCCCCUCACUAGCCACUAGAGAUCCUGACAGUGAAGCCUGGUACUAAUCCUCAAGAAGCCCACAGCCUGGUCAAAAAGAGAAGCAUACCAGAACAAACACGAAGCAAAACCUUAUGCCACAAGCUAGUAGAUAAUCACAAGCACACACACUAAUGGGACACGAGCCCCAUAAAGGCAGAGAUGGCUCCAAGGCCUGGAGGCUUGAGGAAUGCAGGACGUGAGCUGGAAGGAUGGGUGGAAUUUCAAUAAAUGGGCAGGGAGCAUUCUAAAUAGGGGAGUGAUGGAGACAAAAACACAAACAGGAAAUUGAGCGACAUGUUCAGGAAAGACAGAGCAUAGCCGCUGGGCAGCCAGGUCAACUGGCGGCAAGGCAGGAGUUGGCCAGGGAAGCACCGCGCCGCCCCUGCACACCCUGCAUCCUCGGGUCCUGGGAGGGCUGCUCAGUAACUGGAAGGAAAAUGAAACUGAAAAAGAGCAAGGGUCCCGUAGGGCCGUCAGCCCCAAGUCUCCGCUCGGCAAAACCGCUCCCUCCUGGUGGACGCCCUCACCGUGAAGGGCUGCAGGUGGCUGGCCAGGAGAAGCCUGCCCAGCGACACUGCCCAGCGACGCUGAGGCACCAAACAUGAGCAGAGGAGGAAGGAACGCCUGGGAGCAGCUGAGCUGAGCCCCUGCCACCAGCCUCCUCCGCACGCCCGCGGAAUCAGCACUUUCUGCUUCCCGCCCCGCCCCUGAGAGUCUUGCUCUGGGGCCACUCACAGCCAAUUAAGUGGGGUUGUUGUAAGAGAGUCUAAAAUACAUGGAGCUGGCCGAGGACGUGGGGCCGACCCCAUUGUGUGUGUGUGAGGCCAUGAUUAAAGUGUUACCUGUCACCAGGUGUCGCCAA